rnacentral:sRNA from 1 species
GUUGGUGGAACUGAAAGAAGCAGAACAGAAAUCGCUCAAGGAGUCUGAACGGUUGGAGAAAGAAAUUGCUGAUGUCCAAGAGAUCAGC